CGCGUAGGAAUCUGCCCGGUAGCGGGGAGUAGCCACGAGAAAUUUAGGUAGUUAAUUAACCGCAUACGCCCUAACGGGGGAAAGGGACAGGGGAGUCUUCGGAACCGUUCGUCACUAUCGGAUGAGCCUGCGUCGGAUUAGCUAGUUGGUGGGGUAAGUGGCCUACCAAGGCGACGAUCCGUAGCUGGUCUGAGAGGAUGAUCAGCCACACCGGAACUGAGACACGGUCCGGACUCCUACGGGAGGCAGCAGUGGGGAAUAUUGCACAAUGGGCGGCAAGCCUGAUGCAGCCAUGCCGCG
rnacentral:rRNA from 1 species